UACGGAGGGUGCAAGCGUUGUUCGGAAUUACUGGGCGUAAAGCGCACGUAGGCGGACAUUUAAGUCAGGGGUGAAAUCCCAGAGCUCAACUCUGGAACUGCCUUUGAUACUGGGUGUCUUGAGUAUGGAAGAGGUGAGUGGAAUUCCGAGUGUAGAGGUGAAAUUCGUAGAUAUUCGGAGGAACACCAGUGGCGAAGGCGGCUCACUGGUCCAUUACUGACGCUGAGGUGCGAAAGCGUGGGGAGCAAACAGG
rnacentral:rRNA from 1 species